GCCACAUCACAUUGAAACACCUAUUCCCAUACAAUAACUGAAGUUAAGCAACAUCAAGCCUGGUCAGUACCUAGAUGGAUAACCACUUGGGAAUACCAGGUGCUGCAA